rnacentral:rRNA from 1 species
GGCGAACGGGUGAGUAACGGGUGGAAAACCUGCCCUUCAAUGGGGGAUAACGGUUCUAACGAACCGCUAAUACCGCAUACGACCUUUGGACCGCAUGGUCUGGAGGUGAAAGGUGGCGAUCUCUUCGGAGAGCUGCCGUUGAAGGAUGGUUCCGCCUCCCAUUAGCUUGUUGGUGGGGUAAUGGCCUACCAAGGCGACGAUGGGUAGCCGGCCUGAGAGGGUGUCCGGCCACACUGGGACUGAGAUACGGCCCAGACUCCUACGGGAGGCAGCAGUCGAGAAGCUUCCGCAAUGGGGGAAACCCUGACGGAGCGACGCCGCGUGAGUGAAGAAGGCCCUAUGGGUUGUAAAACUCUGUCAGAUUGGGAAGAAAGCACCGUAAUUAAUACCUACGGUGUUUGACGGUACCAUCAGAGGAAGCACCGGCUAACUCCGUGCCAGCAGCCGCGGUAAUACGGAGGGUGCAAGCGUUGUUCGGAUUCACUGGGUAUAAAGGGUGCGCAGGCGGACUAGUAAGUCAGAGGUGAAAUAUGUCGGCUCAACCGGCAAACGGCCUCUGAAACUGCUGGUCUUGAGUCCGGGAGAGGUAGGUGGAAUUCCAGGUGUAGCGGUGAAAUGCGUAAAUAUCUGGAGGAACACCGGUGGCGAAGGCGGCCUACUGGCCCGGAACUGACGCUCAGGCACGAAAGCAUGGGGAGCGAACGGGAUUAGAUACCCCCGGUAGUCCCAUGCCGUAAACGAUGGG